rnacentral:misc_RNA from 1 species
UGAUUUUUAGAUACCGUUGACAAUUUUUACCUCAUUUUUAUUUAGACCAAUUCAAAUAUGCACAAUGUUUGUCUCAUGCAACCCUUAGUGCUGAUUAAUAAUUGAUGUAAAUAUUUGUUAAAAUUUACAGAAAUAUUGCUGUACAUGUUAUUUUCAAAGAAUAGAAUGUUUUUACAGAUAAUGUAAGAGGAAUAACUCUGUCAAGUGAUCUGUCAUCAUUUAAGUCCUUAUGAGGUUUUUAAGAUAAAAAGAAUGUUAAAAUUUGUGAUAAGAUACUGAUAUUCUGGACAUCUUCAUGAAUAAGAAAGUUUCUGUUUUGGAGGUGGGUGGGAAGUUAUGUUUUGGCUUCAAUUAUUCUAAUUAUAAAAAUUUGAUUAAUGUAAUAGAUUUUGCUGGCCAAAGUCACAUUCAUUGAUACAUUUUCUCUUUUAAAAUUUAAUGUUCUGUUUUUUUCUCUAUUUUAUGUGUAUCAUUUAUAUUCUGUAAUAGUAUGGCUUCCUGAAUUUCCAUUCUGAAUUUAGUUUACUGAAUGCCUUUGUUAUUUAAAGUAUCUUUAUAGUAGGUGUUGGCAUGUAAAAUUAAAAUGAAUCCCAAAAUCU